rnacentral:rRNA from 1 species
UACGAAGGGGGCUAGCGUUGCUCGGAAUUACUGGGCGUAAAGCGCACGUAGGCGGUCUUUUAAGUCGGGGGUGAAAUCCUGGAGCUCAACUCCAGAACUGCCUUCGAUACUGAAAGACUUGAGUCCGGGAGAGGUGAGUGGAACUGCGGGUGUAGAGGUGAAAUUCGUAGAUAUUCGCAGGAACACCAGUGGCGAAGGCGGCUCACUGGCCCGGUACUGACGCUGAGGUGCGAAAGCGUGGGGAGCGAACAGG